AUACGGAGGAUCCAAGCGUUAUCCGGAUUUAUUGGGUUUAAAGGGUGCGCAGGCGGCCUUAUAAGUCAGUGGUGAAAUCUCCCGGCUCAACCGGGAAACUGCCAUUGAUACUGUAAGGCUAGAAUACAGACGAGGUAGGCGGAAUGUAGCAUGUAGCGGUGAAAUGCUUAGAUAUGCUACAGAACACCGAUCGCGAAGGCAGCUUACUAAGCCGAUAUUGACGCUCAGGCACGAAAGCGUGGGGAGCGAACAGGAUUAGAAACCCGGGUAGUCC
rnacentral:rRNA from 1 species